GUAGAUCGCUGAUUGGCCAAGAGGAAAUCUCUGUUGACUUUUCGUUUUCGAUCAGUUGAAUCAGUUCUUAGGUGGCCAUAUUUGUCAAAUGUUCGAAUCAAGUAGCUGUCUGUUACUCGCAAUUAUUUGAAGAAAGAAUAGAGGAACUGAGGACAUGCAAGGCAAGAGGCCUGUCGGAACAAAUAUUUUAGAAGCCGUUAACAUGCUAGAUCAGGAGGAUUAAGAUAGAGGAACUGAGGACCUGCAAUAAUAAACUAAGCAAGGGGAUCGUUUGAACUAUUAUUUUAGAAGCCGGUAAAAUGCAAGAUAAUCAAGGAGAAAAAGAACCAAUUAUUGCAAGAAUAUCGUCGGCACAAGUAUAUUUUUAGCUGAGAAAAAUUAAAGGAAAUCAGGACAUGCAAAAGGAUUGUCAGAACAAUUAAGAGGCCGGUAAAAUGAUAGUUAAUCGGGAGUAUUAAGUUAAGAGGAACUGCAAUAAUAAACUAAGCAAGAAGUUCGUCUGAAGUAAUAUUUCAGAAGCCGGUAAAAUGCAAGAUAAUCAAGAGGAGAGAUAGGAGACUCGACUAUUGAAAGAGGACCCAUAGAGGAUAACCGGAACAAAUAAAUUAGAAGCCGGUAAUCUAGGGCAAUAUUGGUUUUGUUUAAAACUUCUGGACGCCUCACUUUUAAAAAAAAUAGAAAAUUAAUUUUUUUCUAGCCUGGCGGGUGAUCACCAAUUUACAAAAUUAUUGAUCUUUAUGUAUAGCCAAUAAAUUUGGAAUGAAUUUACCUUAAAUUACUGAAGCCAUUCAGAUUUACGAAAAGACAUAGUCCAAACUGUAUACCUACAAUAAAGUCCAAACUUUCUACAGUAAA